UACGGGGGGGGCAAGCGUUGUUCGGAAUUACUGGGCGUAAAGGGCUCGUAGGCGGCCAACUAAGUCAUACGUGAAAUCCCUCAGCUUAACUGGGGAACUGCGUGUGAUACUGGAUGGCUUGAAUCCGGGAGAGGGAUGCAGAAUUCCAGGUGUAGCGGUGAAAUGCGUAGAUAUCUGGAGGAAUACCGGUGGCGAAGGCGACUCUCUGGACCAAUAUUGACGCUGAGAAACGAAAGUGCGGGGAUCAAACAGG
rnacentral:rRNA from 1 species